CGGGCCUACGAGUAUCACGUACCGUCUGGAGCACUCGGUAUCGGUGAAGCCAGAAUAUACCAGGCGGCUUCGAACCUGCUUCCACCAGAUCCACCUGAGGACGACGACGAAGAAGAAUCAUCUGAAAAUAACGACGAUCAAAAAGAGGGAAAAGAUGAGAAGAAAGACGAAAAAACAGACGAUGGCAAAUCUUCAAGCAGUUCCUCGAAAUCUUAGUUCUUCUAAGUUAAUACUAUAAAUAAAUAAAUAUUAAGACAACAUCACACUUUACUCUGAUCCUAUGUAAGUAACUAAACACAUGUGUUAUAGAAAUGGGAAACAACCCGAGACAAUAUAGAAAACUUAGUUUUUUUACAUUGACCCUGCCGGGGAUCGAACCCGGGACCUCAGAGAUGGAGACACCAUAAAAACCGGUGUGAAAGCCACUCGAUCACGGAGGUCGUCAAAAUUCUAUAUUUUCUUAAGUCUAUAUUUGUGAAACAAAGACCAAAUCUAUUGUGGAGUUUUCUGUCUAUGGCAAUACGACAAAAGUUGUUGUUCAUGAUGUAUAACUACAAAUAAUCCUGUAUACAUUCAAGAGAGCAACAGUAAUAAAUCCUAGAAACAAAGAAAUCUGACAGAUUUGUGCUUAUAAUAAAUAAUCAAUAAAACACAACGGUCAAGCAUACUAACGGCAUUGAAAGCCGAAACAAAGAUCUAUAACAAGCACAGAAAAUUUCGUCAACGUCAACCUGUAGCCCUACAGGUUGACGUUUGAUUUUUUUUUUAUUUUAGGGACCAAUGCGCCCAUUACCCUGAUAAUUUAUGUUGACAAGUCCCAUGUGCCUGUAAUUUCACCAGCACCCUUGCCCUUCCAAACCGAAACCCAGUAAUGCUUACAUUACUGCUUGGCGGCAGAAAUAGAUAAGGUAGCACUUCACUGGGCGCACUCUUUCACAAGGAGCUCUGCAUAAAUCUUAUACAAAUCGAUAGUGCACAUAUGUAAUAGAUAUCUUUGUAUUAAUAAUUAUAAAAAAAAAACAUUUUGAAAGUAUAGCCGAUAAUUCGAACGUAUAGAAAUAGAGAGAAAUGGACUUUGGUAAAUUGUUUCUACUCCAUCAAAGAAUCUUUCGAAUAUAUUGUAUUUAAUCUAUUUGUAAUUUCAAUUAUGUAAAUUUAAGUUUUGCGUACGAUGUUCUGCUCUUAUCUGUAACUAACUUGUUCAAUAAAAAA